AACGAACGCUGGCGGCAGGCCUAACACAUGCAAGUCGAACGCUGUAGCAAUACAGAGUGGCAGACGGGUGAGUAACGCGUGGGAACGUGCCUUUCGGUUCGGAACAACUCAGGGAAACUUGAGCUAAUACCGGAUACGACCUUCGGGGGAAAGAUUUAUGGCCGAAAGAUCGGCCCGCGUCCGAUUAGCUAGUUGGUGUGGUAAUGGCGCACCAAGGCGACGAUCGGUAGCUGGUCUGAGAGGAUGAUCAGCCACACUGGGACUGAGACACGGCCCAGACUCCUACGGGAGGCAGCAGUGGGGAAUAUUGGACAAUGGGCGCAAGCCUGAUCCAGCCAUGCCGCGUGAGUGAUGAAGGCCCUAGGGUUGUAAAGCUCUUUCGCCAGGGACGAUAAUGACGGUACCUGGAUAGGAAGCCCCGGCUAACUUCGUGCCAGCCGCCGCAGUAA
rnacentral:rRNA from 1 species